AGAGAGUGUGCGAUUGAGUGGUUGCUUAAGUGGUAUUGUAGGUUGGCUUAUGAAUGACUGCAUUUAUGUGAGAGAGAGAGAGAGAGAGAGAGAGAGAGAGAGAGAGAGAGAGAGAGAGAGAGAGAGAGAGAGAGAGAGAGAGAGAGAGAGAGAGAGAGAGAGAGCAAGUGAGCGAGCAUUCAAGGAAAAAAAGUGGUGCAGGUGACUCUUCUAAGACAUUUGGGGUGAAGUGUAAUUUCUAAAAAGUUGCCUACAGGAUAGCUUGCAGCUUCAGGGUUUUCCAUAUUAGAUAUCAACUCUCUUUUCCUUUAUCUAUCAGUUUUUAUCCUCUUUCACACAGAAAAUGCAAUGUGCUAACUCUUGUAUUUCUCAUUUCAAAUAACAUUAUCCCCAUCCUCAUAAAAAAGUAAACAUUAAAUGUUUUAACCCUAGUUCUUGCAGAUGCAGUCAAGUAUAGCCUUAAUGAGAAAAUUCCAUGCCUUCGCCUAAAACACCAACAUAUGAUAGGCUAUUUUAUGUCAAGAAGCAUACACAGGGAACUGCAUCUAUAGAUACUGUUGAUACAGUGAAAAAAUAUAACUUCUAUAGUAGCCUUCUAAAAUCUGAUAUGUCUUACCUUCCAAAGUCAUAAUACCAUUAUGGAAAUUAUAAGAUAUUCAUACCAAGUAAUUCUAGAAUCAAAGAAAGUUUUUAACAUUUGUGUGCUAACACUACACAAAUUGAUGCUUUAUUCAGCAAAAGAAGAGAGCUCAUCCUGAAUCAGUCAAAUGCUUCCACAAUAGUUUCUAUUCUUUCCACAUUUGGUCUUCUUACUCUUUGUGCUUUCACACAUGUUGCAUUUAUAAAGACUCUGAUUAAUCUUUGGACCCAUAAUAAAGGUAUUGAAAACUGUAAAGUUUGUCAACUAUAGGCUAAUAUGCUUAUGCAAUAACUUGCACAAAAUUCAGUUAAAGCUCGGAUUAGGAAAGGGUGAAAGACAUUGAGUUUGUAGUCAGAAUGAGUAGCUGCAUGAACACUUUAUAUAAACUAGUCAUCCAUGUUUAGUAGCAUGAAUGUUUAACUACAGGGCCAAGUUGGCAAACAAGAAAAAAAGAAAAGAAAAAAAAAAGUCAGUAGAGUCUGCUCACAUAGAAGCAAUUUUGUGACCUAGGGGAAGCAGUGCUCAUUUAAGAAGUGUGUGAAAAACCUCAUCCUUAAAGUCAGUUAUUUUGUGUUAUCAUUGCCAAUCUUGGGGAUUUGGAUUGAAGUCUUAAUAUUUUCCUUGCUUAAGGACCCAAGUCAGUUUUUCCAGGGGAGGCAUUGUAUAUAGAGUACAUAUUUUAUAUUUAUUUAUCAUGGUUUAUAUUGAUAUUAUUUUAUACCACUAAAGAGUAUCUAUAAGACCUAAUGCAUUGAUAUGGGUUUAGUAAUGUGUAUUGUUGUUUUGCUUUUGCCCGCAGGAUUAGAGAGAUAUUCUGAAUUACAUUGCCUCUUUUACCUUCUAAAGGCCACACUUGACAGUUAACAAUCACAUUUCCAUGGCCUGAGAGCUCCCUUUCAAUUAUAACAAUAAGAGUAAUUUAUUAAAAUGUGAUAUUUUUCUAGUGUUAACAAUUGGGAGAAAUAAUAACAUGUGUUCCACCAUCACCUCAUCUCAUACCCCCUUCCCUGUUUACGUUCAGCUUAAAAUCACUACCAUUUUAGGAGACUCUUUUGUUAACCACUUGGUCAUGGGUGGCCUACCACAUUAAGCUGGAAUAUUUGUAGUUGAUGGAGAAUUUGCUGAUAGGUGUUGUUGGUCCAGGAAGAUUUCUAUUGAAAACUUAGAUUCUGGUCCCUUCUUUUGAGAUGUUGGGAUAGCAAUUCCUUCUGGAAUCGUUGUAAAUUCUGAGAUCCUUUUUUGAUGGCCUUGUAGUUAAUACGAUUGAUAUAAUGUUCUAGUUGUUGAUAACCUUUUAUUAUAGGGAAUAUAUACCACCCCUCCCAAUAACCCUCCAGCUGCAAGUUCAGCUGUAAAAGACAGACAAGAAAAUGGACAAGAAGUUGUUUGAAGUUCUUACCCAAAAGUUUCAGGGAUUUGAAUAAUGGAAGAAACCAAAGACUAUAUACAAAAGAUAGGAAAUAGUCCGAAUCAGUAUGCCAGGUCUUCGAAAGUUCCCCCCAUGUGUGUAAGUGGACAUGUUGCUGAGUUAGGCUUAUUUAUGUAACGUCUUGUUUAGAUGGUUUGACAGUUUUGCAAUCGUGGAACUCUUAAGAGCAAAGAACCUCAUCAAGUUAUACUUCAAGAUCAACAAGACAGCUGCAGAAAAUAAUUGGUUGCUUCAGGAAGCCUUUGGUGACAGAGCCAUGUCCCAAAGCAGAACAUUUUCUAGGACAAGCAUUUUAAGGAAGGACAAACAUUUGUCAAAGAUGAUUAUUGCUCUGGAUGACUGGGGAUGAGUACAACAGCAGAACAAGCAAAAAAGUGCAUUGGGCUAUCCUUGCAGAUUAUGGACAAAUGAUCUGAGAAGUUUGCGAUAUUAUUGGAUUGACAUACGGAAGCAUUCAACCUUUUUUAUGUUGAUGCAAAAAUUGUCCUGAGAAUACUGAAUGGUGAAUAGAAGGCGCAAUACAUCAUAUUUUGCAGGGAGCUGAAAAAUUAAGUAUAUAUCCUGGAAGAAGAGGAAACUAUUCCCAGGAAAGGGACUUACUACUCAUUUUCCCUCUAGAAGUAAAAUAAAUACAAGGAAGGUAGCCAUGACAAGAGAGUAACCUCAUGUUCUCUCCAGAAGUGAAAGUAAGAGAAAUGUAGUCGCCAACAAGGAUUAAGAAGAAUGACAUGCAGUCCCCAAGAAUUGUCUUGAAUUUUGAAGGUUUUGAUGUGUAAUUAACUUGAAAUAAACCAGAGUAUUA
rnacentral:lncRNA from 1 species